UGAACGCUAGCGACAGGCUUAACACAUGCAAGUCGAGGGGGUAACAGGGUAGCAAUACCGCUGACGACCGGCGCACGGGUGAGUAACGCGUAUGCAACCUGCCUAUAACUGGGGAAUAGCUCCCUGAAAGGGGAAUUAACACCGCAUAACACUAUUGAUUCGCAUGGAUUGGUAGUUAAAUGUAGCGAUACAGGUUAUAGAUGGGCAUGCGUGACAUUAGCUAGUUGGUGAGGUAACGGCUCACCAAGGCUACGAUGUCUAGGGGUUCUGAGAGGAAGGUCCCCCACACUGGUACUGAGACACGGACCAGACUCCUACGGGAGGCAGCAGUGAGGAAUAUUGGUCAAUGGGCGCAAGCCUGAACCAGCCAUGUCGCGUGCAGGAAGACUGCCCUAUGGGUUGUAAACUGCUUUUAUAGUAGAAGAAACACAUCUACGUGUAGAUGUCUGCCAGUAUACUAUGAAUAAGCAUCGGCUAACUCCGUG
rnacentral:rRNA from 1 species